ACCCUCUGGAUCUGUGCUGUCCACAUGUGGCUGGUGAGCCGUGGCGAUGCGGCUAGCCUGAACUGAGAUGGUCUGUGAGGGCAAAGCGCACACUGGAUUCCAAAGACUUGGUAGGACAAAGAGAACUGUGGCUGUGAGGAGAUUCAGAAUUGCCCGUGUGGAACUUCGGGGGUGGCUCCCAUCAUGUUUCUACGGUGCUGCCCCAGGAGGUCCUGCCAUUGAGGUCCUGCUGAGACAGGGGAGCCAGAGCCAAGGAGGAAUGGGUGACUUUGCUGGGCAAAUGUCCCUUGCUUCUCAGACGUGUUUUCCCAGGAAGACUGCAUCGAUAAGGUGGGGAGCUCUGCUCAGGACUCAGGACAUCAACCCCACCGCAUUCAAAUAUAAAGCCAGUGGUACAAAGCCGAGCCAUGAUCUUUGGAACCGGAUCGUUCCAGUCUCCGCAACACCAUCUACUAGCUGUGCAACCUGGGACUAGUUACCAGCCCUGAGCUUCCGUGUCCUCGUUUAUAAAAUGGGAAUAUAGCA